rnacentral:rRNA from 1 species
AUACGUAGGGAGCAAGCGUUGUCCGGAUUUACUGGGUGUAAAGGGUGCGUAGGCGGCACUGCAAGUCAGGUGUGAAAACCAUGGGCUUAACUUAUGGAUUGCACUUGAAACUGUGGUGCUUGAGUGAAGUAGAGGCAGGCGGAAUUCCCGGUGUAGCGGUGAAAUGCGUAGAGAUCGGGAGGAACACCAGGGGCGAAGGCGGCCUGCUGGGCUUUAGCUGACGCUGAGGCACGAAAGCAUGGGUAGCAAACAGGAUUAGAUACCCUGGUGGUCCAUGCCGUAAACGAUGAUUACUAGGUGUGGGGGGUCUGACCCCUUCCGUGCCGGAGUUAACACAAUAAGUAAUCCACCUGGGAAGUACGACCGCAAGGUUGAA